GACGAACGCUGGCGGCGUGCUUAACACAUGCAAGUCGAACGGAAAGGCCCUGCUUUUGUGGGGUGCUCGAGUGGCGAACGGGUGAGUAACACGUGAGUAACCUGCCCUUGACUUUGGGAUAACUUCAGGAAACGGGGGCUAAUACCGGAUAGGAGAUCCUGCUGCAUGGUGGGGGUUGGAAAGUUUCGGCGGUUGGGGAUGGACUCGCGGCUUAUCAGCUUGCUGGUUGGGUAGUGGAUUACCAAGGCUUUGACCGGUAGCCGGCCGGAGAGGGUGGCCGGCCACAUUGGGACUGAGAUACGGCCCAGACUCCUACGGGAGGCAGCAGUGGGGAAUAUUGCACAAUGGGCGGAAGCCUGAGGCAGCAACGCCGCGUUCGGGAUGACGGCCUUCGGGUUGUAAACCGCUUUCGCCUGUGACGAAGCGUUAGUGACGGUAAUGGGUAAAGAAGCACCGGCUAACUACGUG
rnacentral:rRNA from 1 species